rnacentral:misc_RNA from 1 species
UUUAUAGUUCGCUAAGAACACUCAGAUGUAUCGUCGGGUACAAACAGAGAUACUGAAACUGCCGGCGGGCAGCACCCCGAAGGGCAGAAGCCGCCGAAGCAACAAGUUAUAAUGUUCACAAAGGGUUAUGAGUGUAAACUCGGUAAUGAUCCCUCCGCUGGUUCACCAACGGAGA